UAUCAUGAUGAACGACAUUAGCGUGAACAAUCUCUGAUACAAAAUCUUUCAAAUGCGAUAGAUUUUAGGAUUAGAAAACUUAUGUUGCCUUCCUUCUGAAU
rnacentral:snoRNA from 1 species